GUAGGUGGCAAGCGUUGUCCGGAAUUAUUGGGCGUAAAGCGCGCGCAGGCGGUUCUUUAAGUCUGAUGUGAAAGCCCACGGCUCAACCGUGGAGGGUCAUUGGAAACUGGAGAACUUGAGUACAGAAGAGGAAAGCGGAAUUCCACGUGUAGCGGUGAAAUGCGUAGAGAUGUGGAGGAACACCAGUGGCGAAGGCGGCUUUCUGGUCUGUAACUGACGCUGAGGCGCGUAAGCGUGGGGAGCAAACAGGGAUUAGAUACCCUGGUAGUCCACGCCGUAAACGAUGAGUGCUAAGUGUUAGGGGGGUUUCCGCCCCCUUAGUGCUGCAGCUAACGCAUUAAGCACUCCGCCUGGGGAGUACGGCCGCAAGGCUG
rnacentral:rRNA from 1 species